AUUCAGAACAUUAGGUCAGAGAAGCAGACAGCAGGUACUGUAGAGGCUGUAUUCAGAACAGUAGGUCAGAGAAGCAGACAGCAGGUACUGUAGAGACUGUAUUCAGAACAUUAGGUCUGAGAAGCAGACAGCAGGUACUGGAGAGACUGUAUUCAGAACAUUAGGUCUGAGAAGCAGACAGUAAGUACUGUAGAGACUGUAUUCAGAACAGUAGGUCAGAGAAGCAGACAGCAGGUACUAUAGAGGCUGUAUUCAGAACAGUCGGUCAGAGAAGCAGACAGUAAGUACUGUAGAGGCUGUAUUCAGAACAGUAGGUCAGAGAAGCAGACAGUAAGUACUGUAGAGGCUGUAUUCAGAACAGUAGGUCAGAGAAGCAGACAGACAGUAAGUACUGUAGAGGCUGUAUUCAGAACAGUAGGUCAGAGAAGCAGACAGCGGGUACUGGAGAGGCUGUAUUCAGAACAGUAGGUCAGAGAAGCAGACAGCGGGUACUGGAGAGGCUGUAUUCAGAACAGUAGGUCAGAGAAGCAGACAGCGGGUACUGGAGAGGCUGUAUUCAGAACAGUAGGUCAGAGAAGCAGACAGCGGGUACUGGAGAGGCUGUAUUCAGAACAGUAGGUCAGAGAAGCAGACAGCGGGUACUGGAGAGGCUGUAUUCAGAACAGUAGGUCAGAGAAGCAGACAGCGGGUACUGGAGAGGCUGUAUUCAGAACAGUAGGUCAGAGAAGCAGACAGCGGGUACUGGAGAGGCUGUAUUCAGAACAGUAGGUCAGAGAAGCAGACAGCGGGUACUGGAGAGGCUGUAUUCAGAACAGUAGGUCAGAGAAGCAGACAGCGGGUACUGGAGAGGCUGUAUUCAGAACAGUAGGUCAGAGAAGCAGACAGCGGGUACUGGAGAGGCUGUAUUCAGAACAGUAGGUCAGAGAAGCAGACAGCGGGUACUGGAGAGGCUGUAUUCAGAACAGUAGGUCAGAGAAGCAGACAGCGGGUACUGGAGAGGCUGUAUUCAGAACAGUAGGUCAGAGAAGCAGACAGCGGGUACUGGAGAGGCUGUAUUCAGAACAGUAGGUCAGAGAAGCAGACAGACAGUAAGUACUGUAGAGGCUGUAUUCAGAACAGUAGGUCAGAGAAGCAGACAGUAAGUACUGUAGAGGCUGUAUUCAGAACAGUAGGUCAGAGAAGCAGACAGCGGGUACUGGAGAGGCUGUAUUCAGAACAGUAGGUCAGAGAAGCAGACAGCGGGUACUGGAGAGGCUGUAUUCAGAACAGUAGGUCAGAGAAGCAGACAGUAGGUACUGUAGAGGCUGUAUUCAGAACAGUAGGUCAGAGAAGCAGACAGCAGGUACUGGAGAGGCUCUCAGCACAUUCAAGUUGUUUCUGGAAUUACAUGCCCAAGCCAAGGUCAUCUGCCGAAUGUGUGUGUGUGUGUUUACUUUAUGCUACAGUUCAACAGCGAGGGAAUGUUAGCCUUUUUAUGGAUCUAUGGCAGCACGUGUGUGUGUGUGAAUGUGUGUUUAUACAUCAGAGAGAAGUGUGUGUUUAGCAGUCUGGAUGGGUCCUCUAAUGCCACGAGACUCCCCACAGACGGCACGUGCCCAGAACUAUUUAUCCCCGCUGCAGUGUCUCCUCUCCCCUCCCAUUCCUUACCAACACUCAGGCAACUGGGCUGCUGUUAGAGUCACCUUGGCUCCGUAUGCCAGCACAGCUGCAUCUCCCUCCUCAUGGCUAGAUCCAAGAUGGCACCCAGUUUCUCCCUGCAGUGACCUGCUUCUCUCACACCUCUGCAGAGGCAGUUGCCCUGACAACGUCAACGACAGCCUGCUAUUGGUUGAAACCCUCUGCAAACGGACAGCCUUGGUGAUUAUGUAAUGCAGAGACAGCUUCUCUGUGUUAUUGUGAGGAGGACAAUGUUUAUGUAAUUGGUGCCAGGGAAGGCACGUCCAAGGAAUUGAUUAGGGUACCCAAUAAUGCAGUAGCACUAUAAUGCCCAAUAAUGCAGUAGCACAUUUUUAAAAUUUUUAUUUAUUUUAAAUUUAUUUAACUAGGUAAGUCAGUUAAGAACAAAUUCUUUUUUUCAAUGAUGGCCUUGGAACAGUGGGUUAACUGCCUGUUCAGGGGCAGAACAACAGAUUUGUACCUUGUCAGCUCGGGGAUUUGAACUUGCAUCCUUCCGGUUACUAGUCCAACGCUCUAACCACUAGGCUACCCUGCCGCCCCAUGUUGAAGAUGUCCUGUAUCCAAUUCCCAAUAUCAUCAUAUGAAUCACUUUAUUACAGUGUCGUGUAAUGUUAUUUAACAUGACUAAAGUUAAUCAGUGGAAUCAGAGUCGCGUAGCCAUAACGUUCUGAUGCCCCCUACAUUCAAACAAUUGGUCUUUAGCCUGUUGAAAGGAAAGACAACGUUCCAUCAUUAGACUUGGCGACAGGCUCUGAUGAAGAUGCUGCUACUUCAGGUUCCAGUCAUUUACAGUGUGGUAAUGGCACCAUCAGCAUCUCAUUCAUAGUGACAUGAAGGCACCACUUACAGCAUCACAGAGAGAGUGGAGCUGGCAGCACAGCAUCACAGAGAGAGUGGAGCUGGCAGCACAGCAUCACAGAGAGAGUGGCGCUGGCAGCACAGCAUCACAGAGAGAGUGGAGCUGGCAGCACAGCAUCACAGAGAGAGUGGAGCUGGCAGCACAGCAUCACAGAGAGAGUGGAGCUGGCAGCACAGCAUCACAGAGAGAGUGGAGCUGGCAGCACAGCACCACAGAGAGAGUGGAGCUGGCAGCACAGCAUCACAGAGAGAGUGGCGCUGGCAGCACACAGCAUCACAGAGAGAGUGGAGCUGGCAGCAGAGCAUCACAUAGAGAGUGGAGCUGGCAGCACAGCAUCACAGAGAGAGUGGAGCUGGCAGCACAGCAUCACAGAGAGAGUGGAGCUGGCAGCAGAGCAUCACAGAGAGAGUGGAGCUGGCAGCACAGCAUCACAGAGAGAGUGGAGCUGGCAGCACAGCAUCACAGAGAGAGUGGAGCUGGCAGCACAGCAUCACAGCCAAUGACCUCAGUGGUUCUGCAGCAGAGAGAGAGAGAGAAGUGAGAGAGAGUGAGAGGGUGAGAGGGGGAGGGGGAGAGAAGCGGUAAUGGUAUGACACACUCCUAAUCUAUAACCGGAGACGCAGACGGGACAGGACUGGACCAAGAGUGUUCGGUGCAGCUCCCGGAGCGUCUGUCUGUCUCUGCGCAAGAUGCUCAGCAGAACCGGGGAAAACCUAUCGACCGAUUAACUACGUUAGUCCCUGUUAGGUUAAGGAAGAUAGUUAGAAUGACUAUCCCCAAAGAUAUUCCUGAAAAGUGGUUCCCCAUCGUUCUUCCACUGCAACAGAAGAAACAACAAGGACUAGCUGCUAAAACCAAGAAGACGUGGACAGGUACUUCUGUUUGCCACAGUCACGUCAGGCAUCUGUUUUAUAUGCAGUGUGUGCCUGUUUGUUCAUUGGAUGGGGAAAUGUGCUGUAGCUUCCAUCUAUAUGAUUUAUGGUGUCCUGUCUGAUGACAGACAGGAUCUCCCUGCUAUGUCAAUAAACCAUUCUACAUCUCAUCUGUUUGUGUCAGUAUUCAGUCCCUCAUCUCAUGAUUUCUCACAUCUCUGCAGUGUCCAUCUCCAUAUCUCCAUCAUUGUGUGUGUGUUUAUGUGUCUGUGUGACGCCUCAUCCACAUCUACCUGUCACUCCGUCACUAGUCCACUCCUCUGUCUAACCUUGUAUGGAUACAGUUCACACUCGUACGCUUCACUGACUCUCAGUGCCUGUCAUUUCACGCGUGACCAGUCACUGUCAGCCAACACUCUACCUCGCGACGCUGUCAGUGGCUGGCACACACACACACACACACACACACACACACACACACACACACACACACACACACACACACACACACACACACACACACACACACACACACACACACACACACACACACACACACACACACACACACACACACACACACACACACACACACACACACACACACACACACACACACACACA